GGAGAGGUGGCCGAGUUGGUUGAAGGCGCACGACUCGAAAUCGUGUAAGCGAGGAGACUCGCUUCGAGGGUUCGAAUCCCUCCCUCUCCGCCA
rnacentral:tRNA from 1 species